rnacentral:rRNA from 1 species
GAUGAACGCUGGCGGCGUGCCUAAUACAUGCAAGUCGAGCGAACGGACGAGAAGCUUGCUUCUCUGAUGUUAGCGGCGGACGGGUGAGUAACACGUGGAUAACCUACCUAUAAGACUGGGAUAACUUCGGGAAACCGGAGCUAAUACCGGAUAAUAUUUUGAACCGCAUGGUUCAAAAGUGAAAGACGGUCUUGCUGUCACUUAUAGAUGGAUCCGCGCUGCAUUAGCUAGUUGGUAAGGUAACGGCUUACCAAGGCAACGAUGCAUAGCCGACCUGAGAGGGUGAUCGGCCACACUGGAACUGAGACACGGUCCAGACUCCUACGGGAGGCAGCAGUAGGGAAUCUUCCGCAAUGGGCGAAAGCCUGACGGAGCAACGCCGCGUGAGUGAUGAAGGUUUUCGGAUCGUAAAACUCUGUUAUUAGGGAAGAACAUAUGUGUAAGUAACUGUGCACAUCUUGACGGUACCUAAUCAGAAAGCCACGGCUAACUACGUG